UACGAAGGGGGCUAGCGUUGUUCGGAAUUACUGGGCGUAAAGGGCGCGUAGGCGGUACUUCAAGUCAGGCGUGAAAGCCCCGGGCUCAACCUGGGAACCGCGCUUGAGACUGGAGAACUAGAGUUCGGGAGAGGAUGGUGGAAUUCCCAGUGUAGAGGUGAAAUUCGUAGAUAUUGGGAAGAACACCGAUGGCGAAGGCAGCCAUCUGGACCGACACUGACGCUGAGGCGCUAAAGCCAGGGGAGCAAACGGG
rnacentral:rRNA from 1 species